rnacentral:piRNA from 1 species
UNGCUAGGGAGAAGUGCUGAACCUUAUCUGC